rnacentral:rRNA from 1 species
GAUGAACGCUGGCGGCGUGCCUAAUACAUGCAAGUCGAGCGAACAGACGAGGAGCUUGCUCCUCUGACGUUAGCGGCUGACGGGUGAGUAACACGUGGAUAACCUACCUAUAAUACUGGGAUAACUUCGGGAAACCGGAGCUAAUACCGGAUAAUAUAUUGAACCGCAUGGUUCAAUAGUGAAAGACGGUUUUGCUGUCACUUAUAGAUGGAUCCGCGCCGCAUUAGCUAGUUGGUAAGGUAACGGCUUACCAAGGCAACGAUGCGUAGCCGACCUGAGAGGGUGAUCGGCCACACUGGAACUGAGACACGGUCCAGACUCCUACGGGAGGCAGCAGUAGGGAAUCUUCCGCAAUGGGCGAAAGCCUGACGGAGCAACGCCGCGUGAGUGAUGAAGGUCUUCGGAUCGUAAAACUCUGUUAUUAGGGAAGAAAAAAUGUGUAAGUAACUAUGCACGUCUUGACGGUACCUAAUCAGAAAGCCACGGCUAACUACGUG